ACAACAAAAACAAGAAACGAAGCGGCAAACCAAUAAAAACAAGACGUAACGGCUCUGACAUAACAAGAACAAAACGGACAGAGGCGCAGCUAACAGAUUUUUUUGGAGUGGAUAAGCUUUACAGGGACCUUUCGGUGAAAGGCCUCGCGACCGGACAGAGAACAAUAAAACUACCUUCAGGUAGCUUCCGAACCGGUGGGAUCACGAUGUUGUGAAGACAGGUGAUUAAAGCGAGUCAGCGCUCAAAAAAAUACGUUUGCUCUUGACCCCGGAUGGGGGUCGCUCAACAACGCUGUAAAGGGACUGGCCAUCAACAACAAUAACAGGCCGCCCUACAACAAUAAAAAGAGCAGGUAAAACACAUUGGAGGAGAGCUACGGCUCUCCUUUGUGUUUUUCGUCCCCAGGAAGCUGCAGCGUAG
rfam:Pseudomonas syringae pv. lachrymans str. M301315 contig31.3, whole genome shotgun sequence.